rnacentral:tRNA from 1 species
GCUGUGGCUUAGUGAUAGAGCGCUUGCCUAGCAUAUGUGAGGUACUGGGUUUGAUUCUCAGCACAGCA